GACGAACGCUGGCGGCGUGCUUAACACAUGCAAGUCGAGCGGAGCGGCGAACGGGUGAGUAACGCGUAAGUAACUGCCCCCCUCUCUGGGAUAACAGUUGGAAACGGCUGCUAAUACCGGAUAGUGGUGGAUGACGCGCGUCCUAUCAGCUUGUUGGUGGGGUAGUGGCCUACCAAGGCGACGACGGGUAGCCGGCCUGGGAGGGCGACCGGCCACAUUGGGCUGAGGUACGGCCCAGACUCCAACGGGGGGCAGCGGUGGGGAACAUUUCACAAUGGGGGCAACCCUGAUGAAGCAGCGCCGCGUGCGGGAUGACGGCCUUCGGGUUAGAAACCGCUUUCAGCCAUGACGCGGUAGUGGCAGAAGAAGCACCGGCUAACUACGUGCCAGCAGCCGCGGUAAUAC
rnacentral:rRNA from 1 species